rnacentral:rRNA from 1 species
UACGGAGGGUGCAAGCGUUAAUCGGAUUUAUUGGGCAUAAAGGGCGCGUAGGCUGGCGAAUAAGUCAGAUGUGAAAUCCUGAGGCUUAACCUCAGAGCUGCAUUUGAAACUAUUUGUCUAGAGGGUAGGCGGAGAAAGCGGAAUUCCACAAGUAGCGGUGAAAUGCGUAGAUAUGUGGAAGAACACCGGUGGCGAAGGCGGUUUUCUAGCUUACUCCUGACGCUGAGGCGCGAAAGUUAGGGGAUCAAACAGG